rnacentral:lncRNA from 1 species
UUCUCCAUCCUCUCUCCAUCCCUUUUCCACGGCAUGCCUGGGCCAACUUAUAUGUGAAACAUUCAGCACGCAGUCACCAGGAUGUUCUUACUGUCAUUUGGAAUGAGAAGGACAAGAUAUCAGUGUCAUCUUCUCUGAAGAUUGGAAGACACCGGACAAGCUACAGAGCCACUGUUGCCCACCCCUUUAAUUACACUCUGAAGCAACUGGAGGUGCAUUCCCUGUCAGAAAGAAGGGGCAGAAAGUACAACCAGCAGCUUCAGGUCUCAGGGAAUGCUGGGCAGCCUGCUCACCUCUGGCUGGGGCUGGAGGAUAAAUCCAAGAUGGACAUCACUGCCUGGGUUGGCUGUGUGACACUGUCUGCAGGCCAGAGAAAUCAGCUCUUGUAUCCUGAUAAGUUUCAGUUAGAAGCUGUUCUGGAAAAUAUUUUCCUGACCCCAUGUGCCAAACAGCAAAUUCUGGGUAAAAUAGAAACAAACUACUACUCUUGCCUGGAUUACUAUACAAGCUUUCAGUUCUGUGACCUUCCAAACGUAAUUGUUUUAUCUGGAAAGCACCAGCUCAACAAAGAUGACAUCAUUUUGCAGUCAGAGGGCAGAUUCCACCUUGCUGAUCAUGGGAGGGAUGAGGGGUUGAUUGGAAUAUCCAUAAAGAAUCAGAGUACUGCUGAUGUGAAGAACUAUUCUCUGGAAAUUGAAUUAAGAGCCUUUGAAGAUAUUUGGCUAGGCCUGACAGGAACUGCUGCUUCCUCAUCUGUCCAGAGCCAAAUCCUGGUGGAGGGGAUUAUUGAUCAGAAACAGAAAGUAAAAGUAGCUGCUUCCAAAGGAAAGGAGUGUUUUCAGUACUACAUGGGGUAUCUGCAAGGGGAUUUGGAAGAAGGAAUGGAAGUCAGUGCUUGUUCUGAUGGGAAACACAUGGCUGCCAUUAACACCUAUUUCAGCUUAAAUGGUAGAAGGCA